AAAGUUCUGUUGUUAGGGAAGAACAAGUSCCGUGMGAAUAGAGCGGCACCUUGACGGUACCUAACGAGGAAGCCCCGGCUAAYUACGUGCCAGCAGCCGCGGUAAUACGUAGGGGGCAAGCGUUGUCCGGAAUUAUUGGGCGUAAAGCGCGCGCAGGCGGUUCCUUAAGUCUGAUGUGAAAGCCCACGGCUCAACCGUGGAGGGUCAUUGGAAACUGGGGAACUUGAGGACAGAAGAGGAGAGUGGAAUUCCACGUGUAGCGGUGAAAUGCGUAGAUAUGUGGAGGAACACCAGUGGCGAAGGCGACUCUCUGGUCUGUUUCUGACGCUGAGGUGCGAAAGCGUGGGUAGCAAACAGGAUUAGAUACCCUGGUAGUCCACGCCGUAAACGAUGAGUGCUAGGUGUUAGGGGGCUUCCACCCCUUAGUGCUGAAGUUAACGCAUUAAGCACUCCGCCUGGGGAGUACGGCCGCAAGGCUGAAACUCAAAGGAAUUGACGGGGGCCCGCACAAGCGGUGGAGCAUGUGGUUUAAUUCGAAGCAACGCGAAGAACCUUACCAGGUCUUGACAUCCUUGGACCACCCUAGAGAUAGGGCUUUCCCUUCGGGGACCAARUGACAGGKGGUGCAUGGUUGUC
rnacentral:rRNA from 1 species